rnacentral:rRNA from 1 species
CAGGACUCCGAGCGCAGUAGUAAAACCCUCGCUUUGGACUGUACUGGCGCGGCCCUGCCGUAAAACCCCCAACUUCUGAAAAUUUGACCUCGGAUCAGGUAGGAAUACCCGCUGAACUUAAGCAUAUCAAAGGUGGGGAGGAA